rnacentral:rRNA from 1 species
UACAUAAAAUAAAUUAAAUAUUUAUUUAUAAUUAAUUAAUAUGUAAAUUAAAUUAAUUAAAAAAAAAAUUUAUUUAUGGGGUAAAAUUUAUAAAUUAAUUUAUAAAUUUAAAUUUUUAAUUAUUUAUGAAGUUAAUGAAUUAAAUAGAAUUAAACUAGGAUUAGAUACCCUAUUAUAAAAAUUAAAAUUUUAAAUUAUAAGGUAGUAAGAGUUAUAUGCUUGAAACUUAAAGAAUUUGGCAGUAUUUUAAUCUAAUUAGAGGAACCUGUAUAUUAAUUGAUACUCCACGAUUAAUUUUACUUAAAUUAUUAAAUUUGUAUAUCAUUGUUAUAAAAAUUUUUUUUAGAAAAAAAAAUUUAAUUAUUUUAAAAAAAAAUUAUAUCAAAUCAACAUGCAGUUUAUGUUUAAGAAUUUUAUGGGUUAUCAUGAAAAAAUUUAUGGAAUAAAAAUGAAAUAAAAUAUAUAAAGAAGAUUUAUUAGUAAUUUAAAAUUAAUUAAUUUAAAUGAUUUAAGUUCUAAAAUA